CCCACUCGCUCCUCUACCCCCCAUCCCACGUCCCGAUCUGGAUCGGGGGCGCUGGCCCCCGACCCCGGUGAACGCGCCGCCCCGCCUCCUUGACGCUGGACUCCGUCAACGCCGACGCCUCCUCACCUCGUGCUGGACUGCCUUGACCCGACCACCAACCGACGCCAUGCCGUCGCCGGACCUUCCCCCCUCGCCGGAUCAUCCCCGUCCUCCUCCCCAGUGGCUCCAUCGCGCCGUCCUCGUCGUCGAUCACCACAGCCCCGAGCUCCGGCGCCUCCUCGAGAUCACGUUAGCACAACUACACGACCCCCUAGAUGGUGGAUCCCUGGAGCCAGAUGCCACCGCCGAUGGAUGCUGCUACAUGAAGACCGCCUACGAGCAGGAGUAGUUAGGAGGUCCCAGGCAGGAGGCCUUGCCUCUUCGAUUGUGUUGCUUUUGUGCUAGCCUUCUUUUGGCAUCCUUGUUUAACUUAUGUCUGUACUCAGAUAUUGCUGCUUCCACUGACUCUUGUGUAUCGAGCUUGUAUUCGAGCCCUCGAGGCCCCUGGCUUGUAAUAUAAAGCUUGUAUUAUUUUGAUUUGUGUC